rfam:Camelus ferus unplaced genomic scaffold scaffold1330, whole genome shotgun sequence.
CUCACCCAGGGCUCCUGUAGCUCAAGGGGCAGGCCUGUGCCCUGCGCCCGCCCCAAGUCCGUCCAGCCCCUGACGGGGCGCCCCAUCCCGAGGGGCUCCGCACUGGCUCCCACCGAGGCAGGGGACCCGAUCAGCUCGGAGCUCGGCUGGAUGUUACAGGCGUGCAAA